rnacentral:rRNA from 1 species
AGUCCACGCUGUAAACGAUGUCGAUUUGGAGGUUGUGCCCUUGAGGCGUGGCUUCCGGAGCUAACGCGUUAAAUCGACCGCCUGGGGAGUACGGCCGCAAGGUUAAAACUCAAAUGAAUUGACGGGGGCCCGCACAAGCGGUGGAGCAUGUGGUUUAAUUCGAUGCAACGCGAAGAACCUUACCUGGUCUUGACAUCCACAGAACUUUCCAGAGAUGGAUUGGUGCCUUCGGGAACUGUGAGACAGGUGCUGCAUGGCUGUCGUCAGCUCGUGUUGUGAAAUGUUGGGUUAAGUCCCGCAACGAGCGCAACCCUUAUCCUUUGUUGCCAGCGGUUAGGCCGGGAACUCAAAGGAGACUGCCAGUGAUAAACUGGAGGAAGGUGGGGAUGACGUCAAGUCAUCAUGGCCCUUACGACCAGGGCUACACACGUGCUACAAUGGCAUAUACAAAGAGAAGCGACCUCGCGAGAGCAAGCGGACCUCAUAAAGUAUGUCGUAGUCCGGAUUGGAGUCUGCAACUCGACUCCAUGAAGUCGGAAUCGCUAGUAAUCGUAGAUCAGAAUGCUACGGUGAAUACGUUCCCGGGCCUUGUACACACCGCCCGUCACACCAUGAGAGUCGGGAACACCCGAAGUCCGUAGCCUAACCGUAAGGAGGGCGCGGCCGAAGGUGGGUUCGAUAAUUGGGGUGAAGUCGUAACAAGGUAGCCGUUCGAGAACGAGCGGCUG